GAGAUACACCUGUUCCCAUGCCGAACACAGAAGUUAAGCCCUAGCACGCCUGAUGUAGUUGGGGGUUGCCCCCUGUUAGAUAUGGUAGUCGCUUAGCA
rnacentral:rRNA from 1 species